UAUGUAGUGAAGCAGUGCAGGAUGAGAACCACAGGUUUGAGCCGAGCGAAGCGAGACGACAACGCGCAAGCGUUGCCCGCAGAUUGAGGCGAAGCCGAGUCAAUCCAGUACGGCCCACUA
rnacentral:sRNA from 1 species